GUGCAUUCUUUAAAACCCCCCACGAGCCGCGUGUCGCUCCUGGGACAAGAAAGAAUGCGAGAGAAACCCAAGAACUAACCAAAGUUAAAUGUCUUUGCUGUGACGUUUAGCUAUUUCACCUCUUGGACAUUG